UACGUAGGGUGCGAGCGUUAUUCGGAAUUACUGGGCGUAAAGCGUGCGCAGGCGGUUUUGUAAGCCCGAUGUGAAAUCCCCGGGCUUAACCUGGGAAUGGCAUUUGGGACUGCAAGGCUGGAGUGUGGCAGAGGAGACUGGAAUUCCUGGUGUAGCAGUGAAAUGCGUAGAUAUCAGGAGGAAUACCGAUGGCGAAGGCAGGUCUCUGGGCUGACACUGACGCUCAUGCACGAAAGCGUGGGGAGCAAACAGG
rnacentral:rRNA from 1 species